AUACGUAGGGUGCAAGCGUUAAUCGGAAUUACUGGGCGUAAAGCGUGCGCAGGCGGUUUUGUAAGACAGCGGGGAAAUCCCCGGGAUCAACCUGGGAACUGCCUUUGGGACUGCAAGGCCAGAGGACGGCCGAGGGGGGUGGAAUUCCGCGGGUAGCGGGGAAAGGCGUAGAUAGGCGGAGGAACACCGAUGGCGAAGGCGAUCCCCUGGGCCUGCACUGACGCUCAUGCACGAAAGCGUGGGGAGCAAACAGGAUUAGAUACCCUGGUAGUCCACGCCCUAAACGAUGUCAACUGGUUGUUGGGGAUUUAUUUUCUCAGUAACGAAGCUAACGCGUGAAGUUGACCGCCUGGGGAGUACGGCCGCAAGGUUAAAACUCAAAGGAAUUGGCGGGG
rnacentral:rRNA from 1 species